rfam:Candidatus Methanoperedens sp. DS-2015 MPEBLZ_contig000190, whole genome shotgun sequence.
UGCCCCUUCCAUUUGGGGUAAUCUUACCGGGAUGUGCUUCAACAGUAAUGCUGAGGUGCAAAGCUUCCGGGACAAUGAGAGGAAACCUGAAAAUCCAAUUCAGGCAAUUCG